rnacentral:lncRNA from 1 species
UACAACAAUAUCUGUUUCAACACACGACUUCACAAUACCAACGACUUUAUAAUAGGUCAUAGCCUAGCGAACACAACCACAUACAUAUAAAUACAUCAACACAAAUAUAAGCACGCACACACACGCACAUAUACAUAUAUGCAUAUAUAUAUAUAUAUAUAUAUAUAUAUAUAUAUAUAUAUAUAUAUAUAUGUAUAUAUAUAUAAAUGAAAGAAUGGAGUUGAACGACGAUUUAACGAAAUUCCUCUAUUCUCGACAAAUGUUUCGAAGGCUGCAUAUUCCUAAUUUCGAAGGAAUAAGGGGUGCAUUAUGCCGCCUUCUCAUCAGGAAAGACAAGGAACUUAUGUCAGCAUCAUGAUGAACAAAAACUUUUAGAUGACUGCCCACACGGAGUUCAUAGCGAUAAUGUAUUAAAAAAAACACACAAAUCUCCACACGAAAGCACGUGAUCUCUGCCCUUGGCAUGUAGCUUCAACCGUGUUUUUCUGACGUGAAUUUGCUACCCAGGUAUCGGUUAACCGAAUUAUCCAUACUAGGAUAAUUCAUUCAACUACUUAAAUAUAUAUAUAUAUAUAUACAUAUAUAUAUGUAUAUAUAUAUAUAUGUAUAUAUAUACAUACAUGUAUAUAUAUACAUACACACACACACACACACACACACACACAUAUAUAUAUAUAUAUAUAUAUAUAUAUAUACAUACAUAUAUAUAUAUAUAUACAUAUAUAUAUAUAUACACUUUAACACAAAUAACAUCUCAUACACGCGCGCUCGUACUCACAAACACACACGUACAUACAUAUAUGUUAUAUAUAUAAAGAUUAUGUUUGUACAUCUUUCCUGUAUAAAGAGAAAAAGGGAGAAAGGGCGAGUUGUGGCUAGAUUAGAUUUACCUAUAUCCACCGCACUAGAGAUAAAUAUAUAAAUAUACAUAAACUCGCGUAUACAUAUAUUCGAAUCUAAAACCACACCACAUGUACAGAACGCAUAGAUAUACAUACAUCUGUGAUUUACAUAUGAAACAUAACUCUUACAUUCCACGUCAGCUUGGAAUAUCUGAAUAACUGAAUAUUUUAAACUCACAACACAGACGCACCUGUGGAAAAGCUAUAUAUAAAGGAAAACUGUAUUUAAAUAAGCAGAAGCUAUUAAUCAAUACAAUUAGCAAGAAUUUAAAAUGUAAUAGCGAAUCAAUAUAUUUGUACACUCACAUCUAUAUACGUAUAUAUUAUAUAUUCACGUACACGACGGAUAUAACUCACGAAUGCAAUAGAAAGUCUCAAACGCCCUUACAUGACUGUGCGUGAGCGCCUGUCUCUGUGUGGGUGAAUGUAAAUAUAUGUGUGCGUGUCUGUUUUUUCAUUUGUAUAUAUAUAUAUAUAUAUAUAUAUAUAUAUAUAUAUAUAUAUAUAUAUAUAUAUUUAUCAUAUAUAUAUAUAUAUAUAUAUAUAUAUAUAUAUAUAUAUAUAUAUAUAUAUACAUACAGGAGUGGCUGUGUGGUAAGUAUCUUGCUUACCAACCACAUGGUUCCGGGUUCAGUCCUGUUGCGUGGCACCUUGGGCAAGUGUCUUCUACUAUAGCCUCGGGCCGACCAAAGCUUUGUGAGUGGAUUUGGUAGACGGAAACUGAAAGAAUCCCAUCGUAUAUAUGUAUAUAUAUAUAUAUAUAUAUAUAUAUAUAUAUAUAUAUAUAUAUAUAUAUAUGUGUGUGUGUGUGUGUAUAUGUUUCUGUGUUCGUGUUUGACCCCCAACAUCGCUUGACAACCGACGCUGGUGUGUUUACGUCCCCGUAACUUAGCGGUUCGGCAAAAAAGACCGAUAGAAUAAGUACUAGGCUUACAAAGAAUAAGUCCUGAGGUCGAUUUGCUCGACUAAAGGCGGUGCUCCAGCAUGGCCGCAGUCAAAUGACUGAAACAAGUAAAAAAAAGUCAGAGUCAAAAAGACUCAUAUAUAUAUAUAUAUAUAUAUAUAUAUAUAUAUAUAUAUAUACAUGUAUGUAUGUAUGCACGUGUGCGUGUGUAUAAAUAUAUAUAUAUAAAUAUAUAUACAUAUAUAUAUAUACAUAUAUAUAUACACAUAUAUACAUAUAUAAAUAUAUGUAUACAUAUAUAUAUACACAUAUAUACAUAUGUGUAUAUAUAUAUUUAUGUAUGUAUGUGUAUAUAUAUAUAUAUGUAUGUAUGUGUAUAUAUAUAUACACAUACAUACAUAUAUAUAUAUAUAUACAUACAUACAGAUAAAUGUAUAUGUAUGUCUAUAUAUAUUGUGGUAAUACUUCAAGUAGAAAUGUACCCGAUUAGCAAAGAGAGUAAAGAUAAUCUUAAAAUCGCUGCCAUUACAAGUUUUGUGGUUUCUCAUUUUAUGAUUUUAUAUAUAGUAGAAUAUUUAUAUAAACAUAUGCACAUAUGCAUAUAUUAAUAUCUGCAUGAACUGUUGUUGCAUAUGUUAAAUGUGUUUAUCAACUCCAAAAUGUAAGUUGAUGUAAGUUGACGUUGGUGGCGUUUGAACCCAGAACAUAAAGAUCCGAAAGGGAUGCUGCUAAGUAUGUUCUUCGACACGCUUAUGAUUCUACUAGGUUGCCACUUUCAGUGCAACUUUAAUAGUAGUUUCAAAGGAUGCACAUUCGAAGAAAGCCAUAGCAAUCGUCAUAGUCUUGAUUUCAUAGUAACCAACGCUAUUGUGCUCUCUAUUGGUGUUGGACUUUAAAAUGAACAAUCAUCAAAUGACGCGCAUUUGAAGAGAAAUAUGACCAUCGUCAUAUUCUUUGGCGCAUUGCCAGUAAUUUUAAAUAGAAUUAAGUCGAUUUAUCGACUCCAGAAGCUUUAAUGAGAAAUAAGUUAAUGAUAUCGGCCCCAGAGUCCAACUGAUACUUAUUUUACUGAUCCCGAAAUGACAAAAAGCAUAUGCGCUCAGAACGUAAAAUCGAAAGAAAAUGUACUAAGCAUUUAUUUUGUCCGGUGUGAUUACAAUUCUUCCAGCUCGCCGCUUUCAGUAUGAUUUUAAUAAUAAACUUCCCUUGCAAUGUGGAUAAUGGAUCUUGAAUCUCAAUGGUGAGUUUGCUUUGUUUUCCGUUGCAGUGAUCCGGAAAUCACUUAUCUUUGUAGCUCCUUGCUUGAGUGGAUAGCAAGUGGAUAACGCAUAGCCGGCAGCAUUAGUGAUUUUCUGUAACCAACGCGAUUAUCUCACUUUGUUAUUACGCAAUUUAAAAAGUAAAAUCCAUCAAACGAUGAAAACCACAACCAUCGUCAUAUUCGUGAUUCUACAGUAAGCAACGCAAUUGUACCCUCCGUUGGCCUUGCACUUAAGACUGUUCUCAAAUGAUUGGUACUGGGAGAAAACUGUGACCAGCCUCAUAUUCUUUGGAAACACAUGUGGUGAUAACAGUCAAUCUUCAUACCGAAACAUUAGUGUUUCAAAUUGCUGGGAACGUCCGCCGGUGACAGGGCCGGAAUUUGAAUGCAGAAUGUACAAAAGGAUACUGCACUGCAUCACGUCUAAAACAAUAAAAAGCAAAGGUGUCCUGGGAAGAAAUUGAACACAAAACUCCAACAAUCAAGCGACUUGCUGGGGCUUCCUGCUGGAGCCUAGCAGCAGGUAUUUAAAGGGAAAAAUUUGACAAGACAGUCGCCCGCUGACACUCGUUGACGCUACAUCGAAGAGGCCAGGGAACAGAAGAAAGAGGAAGAAAGUAGACAUGCACCCAACACCAGAGCUGAAGACACCUCCGAAAGGGGGGGGGCACCACGUCAAGACGGAAGAGGAGUAGGAGCCGAAACCGAACGUGGUUCCUCCUGAUGAUGUCUUGAGCUAACUGGAUCCUAUAAAGGAGCUGUUGUGGUAGCAGACCACGAAACACGGUUGAAAUUCCUGCAGUGCACCCCGUCCAAAACAAUAAAAAGCAAAGGUGACCUCGGAAGGAAUUGAACCCAAAACUCCAACAAACGAGCGACUCUGCCAGUUCACUACCACAGACGGCGUGUAUAUAGAUGAUUAUGUAAACGCCCGCGUUUAUGAAGUGGAUAAAAAGAUUAUCCAAUGCAAGAAGCAGCGUAUAUGGUUUUGUUUUUAUAUAAUUAUUUACAGUCUGAAAUUUUAAAACUAGGAACUACUGCUUUCACGUGCCCUAUCCCCAGGCAACACAGCGUGAGGCUGGUUGUUAAACUUGUAAUGUUUCUGAUUCCAAAAGACGUGUGUGUGUGUACGUGUGUGUGUGUGUGUGUGUGUGUGUGUGUGUGUGUGUAUGUGCAUGUGCGUAUACAAUAUGUGAAUUCUGUAUCUGCGAGAUUGGUUGCGUACUUACACACACAUAUUCGUGUAGAUACAUAAUACAUAUAUAUAUAUAUAUAUAUAUAUAUAUAUGUGUGUGUGUGUGUGUGUGUGUGUGUGUGUGUGUGUUUGUAAUUUUAUGUAUACACGCUCAAACAUACAUAUUUACGCUUAUAUACAUAUAUGUAUAUGUAAUGUAUAUAUAGAGAGAGAUAGAUGUAUAUACAUAUAUGCAUAUAUAUUUAUACACAUAUAUGCGAACAUACACACAAACAUGCACACGCGAAUGCACGCGCACACUCUAUAUGUAUAUAUAUAUAUAAAUAAAUAUAUAAAUACAUAUAUAUACAUAUAUAUAGAGAGAGUGAGAGAGAUACAUAUAUAUAUAUUUAUAUGUUUGUAUAUGUAUAUGUAUAUAUAUAUAUAUAUAUAUAUAUAUAUAUAUAUAGAGAGAGAGAGAGAGAGAGAGAGAGAGAGAGAGGUGCAAUGGCCCUGUGUUUAGAGCAGCGGACUCGCGGUUUCGAUUCCCAGACCGGGCGUUGUGAGUGUUAUUUGGGCGAAAACAUCUAAAGCUCCACGAGGCUCUGGCAGGAGGUGGUGGCGAUCCUUGCUGUACUCUUUCGCCACAACUUCCUCUCACUCCUUCUUCUGUUGGCCUGCUCGCUUAGCCAGCGGGGUGGCGUCAGUUGAAGGCUAAAACAAUGCGAAGCGCAAUGUGACCAGCGAUGUGUAGCAGCAUCUGAUAGCCUGGUCGGUCACGGUGAUCACGGUGGUGAUAUAUAUAUACACAUAUCCUCUCUUCUUUUUGUUAAUUAUUUCUAUCGUUCCUAAAAAGGAUUGGUUUCUAACAAAGAAAGAUUGGUGUAGCGGUGAAGUUUGGAGAAUAACAAAAGUAAAAAAUUGUAAGUUUUCGCUUUCUGAUUGGAAUUUUACUUCGUAUUCUGAAUGUCCUCCCGUGUGGCCAAAGUUUGGUAUAAAACAUAUUAAAAAAGCGACUUGUUCAUUUUGUCAGCGCAUGUGCUACCAUUCUACCUAUAAAUUCUAACAAUGUCUAGCAAAUACAUAUUUGCUCCAGAUACCUUGACUACAUCUAAUCUAUUAAUUCUUUCUUAAAAAGAUUUAAAGUUCUGCAAUACUUGCUCCAGACGGAUUAGCACACAUUCCGUAAUUCCACUAUUUCGGUUUAGUCGAACUUGUAUCCUUCACAUUGUAAUUGCGUAGGAACUCCUGGGCCAAUCGCCAACUUAUAUACUCGAAUGUUUUCAUGGGUUUAUUCAGAACUUUUAUAACUUUGUUAGUAUAACAGGAUACAGAUUGGUAUAAUGAUUAACAUAAAGCUACAGGUAUCAUUUAGUUACCGAUUUUGCAGACAGAUUCCUCAUCAAUUUUCCAAAGAUAUCUUCUUUCCAUACUCUCUUCCAUACUCCCUUACAUGUUUCAGUCAUUUGACUGCGGCCAUGCUGGAGCACCGCCUUUAGUCGAGCAAAUCGACCCCAGGACUUAUUCUUUGUAAGCCUAGUACUUAUUCUAUCGGUCUCUUUUGCCGAACCGCUAAGUUAUGGGGACGUCAAUACACCAGCAUCGGUUGUCAAGCGAUGUUGGGGGACAAACACAGACACACAAACAUAUACACACACGGCGAUCAGGCAGAAACGAUAGCACACCGGGCGAAAUGCUUCGCGAUAUUUUGUGUGCAGCUACGUUCUGAGUUCAAAUUCCGCCGAGGUCGACUUUGCCAUUCAUCCUUUCGGGGUCGAUUAAAUAAGUACCAGUUACGCACUGGUGUCGAUAUAAUCGACUUAAUACGUUUUUCUGUCCUUGUUUGUCCCCUCUGUGUUUAGCCCCUUGUGGGUAGUAAAGAAAUAAGAAACGUUAACACACCAGGCGAAAUGUUUAGUGAUAUUUCGUCUGCAGCUACGUUCUGAGUUCAAAUUCUGCCGAGGUCGACUUUGCCUUUCAUACUUCCGGGGUCGAUUAAAUAAGUAUCAGUUACGCACUGGGGUCGAUAUAAUCGACUUAAUCCGUUUGUCUGUCCUUGUUUGUCUCCUCUGUGUUUAGCCCCUUGUGUGCAGUAAAGAAAUAACAAACAUACACACAGACACAGAGACACAGAGACACACACAGAGACACACACAUACACACGCACACACACACACACACACACACACACACACACACACAUAUAUAUAUAUAUAUAUAUAUAUAUAUAUAUAUAUAUACAUACAUAUAUACGGCGGGCUUCUUUCAGUUUCCGUCUACCAAAUCCAUUCACAAGGCUUUGGUCGGCCCGAGGCUAUAGUAGAAGACACUUGCCCAAGGUGCCACGCAGUAGGACAGAACCCGGAACCAUGUGGUUGGUAAGCAAGAUAUUUACCACAAAGCCACUCCUACGCCUAUAAAAAAAUUUGCUUACUUUUUUUCUGUUCUUAGACUUCAUCGAUCUCAAUGUGUUCAUCUUUAUUGCUUGACCCCUCUCUUUCUUAUUCCAUUCCAUAUUGCUCUGGCUGCCACAUCAUGCAUUAUAGGAAGGUAAUAUCUACAGGACGUUCUCUUGCAUAUGACAAGGAUCUGGUUAAAUCCUUUAAGUUUGAUUUUCCAUAGCCUACAUUUAUUGGCAUCUGAUUCUUUCUGUUUUGUACAGAUUUGUAAUUUGUGAGGAUUUCUUACUAUUGGAAUGCAUAAAGAUGAUUUUAAAACUGACGUCUUUAUUUUUUAUCUUUUUAUCUUCUCAAACAUUAGAGUGCAGUAAUACUGGAGCAUCAUUUUCAAGUUUUAUAGGCGAUCGAAUCACCCUUAGUAUUUUUUUCUUAAACCUGGUACGUAUUCUACCAGUCAGUUUUGCCGAACCACUAAGUUAUGAGGACAUAAGAACUCAAACACCGUGCGUCAAGCGGUGGUGGUGGACAAACACAGAAGGUCAAAAUUAGGUGGCUGGAUAGCCACUGGAUAACUGUUCUGAGAAAACUGCUUGCUCCAGGCUGAAGGGGAUAUAGUAACCAAAUAUUUUUCACUCGUUUGACAUAUUCAUUUCUGGGCCGUAUUUGAAUUCACAUAGUGUUCAAGAUACUUGUAGCUCUCUUUUGAUUUUUUGAAAUGUAUGAUGAGACAUUUCAUGUUUAGUGAGUUUGAUACUUUCUUUUGAAUUUCGUUGUUUUAUGCCGGGUUUUUUUUUUGGGGGUUUUUUUUUUUUGCUGUGGAUGCAAUUGCUUAUCUUCUGGCUACCAAAUAUAUACCUGUGGAAUUAUUAAAAUCUAUUCCAAUAUUUGUGGAGUAUAGUUAUGGAAUACAGCUGAACCCCCAUUCAACAUUGAACAUUGAAUUAUAUCAGAACCAAAGGAUUAAUCAGAACCAAACUGAUAUCAGAGCCAGAGGAUUAAUACAUGGCCCAUACAGCUUCAGAUCCUCAUCAAAGAAAAAGUGAGAGAUAUUCCUAGAUUCCAAGCGCUCAUUUUUCUAAACUCCGUGUUUUGUGGCCAGUUGCGAUAACGGUUUCAAAGAAACGAUAAAGAACAGUACCAACAGGCUACUGCAUAAAGAAUAGCUAUUUGAUAACGAAUGGCGUCACAUUUGAUUGCUUUGCGGUCGCAUUUGAUUGGUUCGUCAAGCAAAGACUUUUUUUAGUCUUUGUUGGUUAUAGAAUAGCAGCUGCCAGUGUUUGUAGACUUAGUGAAUAUAACGCGUCGAUUAUGCAACCAAAUAUCGUCUACUGUCAAAGGCUUUCUGUUUGUGCGUCCACACUUCAAACCAGUUCUUACGGUUCCUUACUGUUUCCUCUGGUAUGAAUUUAGUAGUUGCUUCUCCUUAUAUCGCCAUACUUCCUUGUUUCCUCCAGCAAGGCUAGUUGGUCCUGAUCGGGUAGAAUAGUAAUCUUUAGUCGUGACUUUCUUUUCGUUGUUUAUAAUUACUUUUUCGCCAAUAAUGGUGAAAUAUGUAUGUAAUUAUUAUAUAUAAUGUAUUCUUGGAUUCGUGCCAUUUGUUCAUGUAAUAUAUUCCCCGUUAUAUGAUCUCAAAGCAGGUUGAAGCGUCAAAUAUCUAUCGAGUAUAUCUAACCAAAGAUAUAUACACAAUACAAGCGUAGGAGUGGCUGUGUGAUAAGUAGCGUGCUUACCAACCACAUGGUUCCGGGUUCAGUCCCAUUGUGUGGUACCUUGGGCAAGUGUCUUCUACUAUAGCCUCGGGCCGACCAAAGACUUGUGAGUGAAUUUGGUUGACGGAAACUGAAAGAAGCCCGUCAUAUAUAUAUAUGUAUGUAUGUGUGUGUGUGUGUGUGUGUGCGUGUGUGCGUGAGUAUGUGUUUGUGUCUGUGUUUGUCCCCUUAACAUCGCUUGACAACCGAUGCUGGUGUAUUUACGUCCCCGUAACUUAGCGGUUCGGUAAAAGACACCGAUAGAAUAAGUACUAGGCUUACAAAGAAUAAGUCCUGGGAUCGAUUUGCUCGACUAAAGGCGGUGCUCCAGCAUGGCCACAGUCAAAUGACUGAAACAAGUAAAAGAGUAAAAGAGUAAUAAGUUACUAACUUCAGUCUGUUCCUUGCACAUGUGCUACUCUUAGCUACUAGUUAGAUAUGUGUGUAUAUGUACGAAUGUAUACAGGUAUGCAUAUAUGUGUGUUCGUGUGUAUGAGCAUGUGUGUAUUUAUUAUAUGUGAAUGCAAGAACGCAUAUACGCAUGUAUAUAUUAUAUACGUGCGUGUGUAUUGAUAUGCAAACCUUGUGCAAGGCAUAGUUGAAGAGAUAUCUUGACAAUUGCACUCAUAUGAACAAAGAAAGCUACACACACUAGUUGAAAAGAAGUAGGUUAUGCUUAUAUACACACUAGCACGACAGCAUAGUACAUGCGGUAGGGGUGGUAGAGGAGGAGGCGUGGGUGGAGGCAGACGUGGAGGUGGUGGUGGAGGAGGAGGAGGAGGAGGAGGAAGAGAUGGGAGGCAGUGGUGGUGAUGGUAGUGUGUGUGUGUAUGUGCGUAUGUAUGUGAUUCAGGUGAAUAUAUAAUAAUUGACUGAGGGAUAUAUAUAUAUUCUUUUUUUGUCUUUUAUUUGUUUCAGUCAUUUGACUGUGGAGCACCACCUUUAGUCGAGCAAAUCGACCCCAGGACUUAUUCUUUGUAAGCCUAGUACUUAUUCUACCAGUCUCUCUUGAUGAACCUCUAAAUGACGGGGAGAUAAGCACACCAGCAUCGGUUGUCAAGCGAUGUUGCGGUGGGGGGGGGGGACAAACACAUACAUAUACAUAUAUACAUACAUAUAUACGACGGGCUUCUUUCAGUUUCCGUCUACCAAAUCCACUCACAGUGCCACGCAGUGAGACUGAACCCGGAACCAUAUGGUUUGUAAGCAAGCUACUUACCACACAGCCACAUAUACUCCAAGAAAUUAUAUAGAAACUGCAUUUGAGUUGGUCCUGAUCGAGUAGAAUUAUAACUAUAGCCGUGACUAUUUUUUUCAUUGUUUAUAAUUACUUUUUUGCCAGUAAUGGUGAAAUAUGGAAGUAAUUAUUAAAUUUAAUGUAUCCUUGGGUUCGUGCCAUUUGUUCAUGUAAUAUAUUCUUCUAAUAGAGCUGGUAGAAACGUUAGCACGCUGUUCUGUGUUCAAAUUCCACUGAGGUUGACUUUGCCUUUCAUCCUUUCGGGGCCGAUAAAUUAAGUACCAGUUGCGUACUGGAAUCGAUCUAAUUGACUGACCCCCUCCUCAAAAAUUUUGGGCCUUGUGCCUAGAGUAGAAAAGAAUAUGUUCUUCUAAUGUAUAUUUUUCUUUUCGUAAGGUAGAAUAACAAGGUUUGAGUAAGAUUAGUCUUCUGUUUCUAGUCUUUCAAAGAACCACGUAAAGGCUUCUAAAUUGAGGGAAGCAAUUAUACAGGGAGAUAAAGGCAUGAAAGAUUGAUAGCCAACCCAGAUACCCAGCAAGAUCGAUCUAUAGAUAGACAGACAGCCAUUCGGAUUGACAAACAUAGAAACAGGCAGACAGACAGAGAGACAGACAAACAGACAGACAGAUAAACAGACAGGCGGACAGACAUAUAAUUCGCUAAUGUUUGCUAACUAUAGGUACCUUAUUUAGUUAUCUAGUUAGCUUUUAGUUAGCUUUUAGCUAACUACUUGUCUACAAUAUUCAGCGAGCUUGAUAACAAGCGAGCUAACCAGCUUGAUAACAAAUGUGCUAACUAGCUUGAUAACAAGCGAGCUAACCAGAUUGAUAACAAACGAACUAACCAGCUUGAUAACAAACGAACUAACCAGCUUGAUAAAACGGGCUAACCAGCUUGAUAACAAACGAACUAACCAGCUUGAUAACAAACGUGCUAACCAGCUUGAUAAAACGGGCUAACCAGCUUGAUAACAAACGGGCUAACCAGAUUGAUAACAAACGAAGUAACCAGCUUGAUAACAACCGAGCUAACCAGCUUAAUACUCAUAUCUAACUAGAUAAUCUAAGUUAUAUAUUAGCCAAAAUAAAAUUUAACCUAUUAGAUAAGUAGCUAACUCUGUAGCUAAGAAGCUACCUAUCUAUUUAUCAGAGAAGCCAAUCGGUUUGUUAGUUAUCUAACUUUAUAAAUGACGAAAUAGUAUGAAGUUAUAUAAAUUAGUCAAGAAACUUCUUGUGAACUAGGUAUCUAACUGGUUAGUUCGUUUGACAUCUAGAUGACUAUUUACUGUGUAGAGUUGGUUAGAUGUCAGUGUUGGUUACAUCAGUCGGUUGAAUAGAUAUUGAACUGUAAGACGGACAAAAGCAGCAGCAGGUAGGCAGACGGACAGAAGUUUGUAGGUGCGCAUGGAUAUAUAUAGCGAUACUGUAUAGUAUAUGGGUUCGUGUGUGAAUGUGUGUUUGUGGGUUGUGCUUGUGUUUCUAUGUUGUGUGUGAAUGUGUGCGUGCUUGUGUUGUGUAUGAAGGUCUGUAUCUGUGUGUGUGUGCGGGCGCACGUGCCUCUAUGCGUCUGUGAUGUGUGUGUCAGUGUAUGUGCGUGUAUACCUGUGAUGUGUUUGGUUGAACCUGUGUGUGUGUGGAUUUGUAUGCGUGUGCUUUUGUACGUGUGUGCGUGUGUGUCUGUAUCGUGUGAAUGAGAGUGUGUGUGCGUGUGUCUACUGACAAACGUAGGCGUCAGACACAACCAGAGAAUAAUGAGGUAAUAUAGAGAAUUUCAACCAUGUUCCGUGGUCUGCUACCACAACAGCUCCUUUAUAGGAUCCAAUUAACUCAAGAUAUCAGGAAGAAAGCACGUCCGGUUUCGGCCCUACUCCUCUACCGUUUUGACGUGGUGCCCCCACCACCACCACCACUUUCGGAGGUUCUUCAGCUCUGGUCUUCUUUCUUCUGUUCCCUGGCCUCUUCGAUGUGGCGUCAACGAGUGUCAGCGGGCGACUGACUGUUUUGACCCCUCAGCCACUUUAAGGAGUUCAAGAACCUUUUCAUCCAAUAUUUUCUUACCUUUUUCAAGAGGGUUGUGUCUGAUUCGAAAGUGAUUUCGCAGUUAUUUUCGCAGAGUACAGUGGCCACAUGCGUGAAAGUACAUUCAGACAUGCCGAGGAGGUGAAUUUUCUGUCAGGUCGUUUUCUGUAGUUGAGUGUUUUUCAUCGUUCGAAUGUGCUCGAGCAAGUUCAGCAACUCAUAACCGUGUUUGUUAGUCAAAUACACGUCACUGAGUUCUUCCAAUCGGCUCAUUUCCGUUUCAUUUAUGCUAAUCCGCGCAGCCAUAGAUAUGAUAUCACACAUAUAGUCUAGAAGAAAAUAUUUUUUGGCGAUUAUUUCCGCAGCAGAGUGGGAGGCCUCCGAGGCCUGAGCGUCUCCAUUGUGUUAAAUGGCAUUUUAUAUGAAUAUAUUGUGCUUAAUGCUGCUUCGUACGAUUCUAUUUAUUUCUAGCUAGACCAAGACUUAUGCACAUCAGCAGAUAUAACGUGCGCUGCUCUAGUAUGAAAACGAAUGCAUUUUGGGGGCGGGGGUGACAGAAUUUCUGUUCGUAUUUGAGGACGCGAAAGAACGUUGAAAUGCACGUAUCCUAAGAUUCAGUGACAUCAUUCACAGUCCAGUGUGUAUUUACGCAUGUUGACGAGACCUGACAUGCGUAAAUAUCAGGUCUUUUAUCCGUAAUUGAGUGUUUUCCCACGUCCUAUUGUGCCUGAGAGUGUCCAAUAUAGUUUUAGAUACAUAUAGGAGAAAUUAGAUAAAACAUUCAUUGGUAUUGUAUAUGCAUUUUUAUAUACAUAUGUAUGUGUGUGUGUGUGUGUGUGUGUGUGUGUGUGUGUGUGUGUGUGUGUGUGUGUGUGUGUCUGUGUGUGUGUGUAGUUAAAUAUGUAGAAAGCAAAAGACGAAGACACAUGAAGGAACAAGAAGCCGCUGAAUUAGUUCAACGCUCGGAGAGUAUAGAAAAGUAUAUAUGUAUAUAGAAGAGAGAGGGAGAGGAAGGGAGGGAGGAGAGAUAGAGAUCAUUUAUCUUUUAAUCUUUUACAUGCUUCAGUGAUUUUACCGAGACAAUACUGAAACACCGACCUCAAAGAAAUUUUAGUCGAAUGACACAAACACUGUAUUUAUUAUGGCAUAAAUAUAUAUACGUAUAUAUAUAUAUAUAUAUUUAUAUAUAUAUACAUAUAUAUUUAUAUACAUAUAUAUUUAUAUAUAUACAUAUAUAUAUACAUAUAUAUAUGUAUAUAUAUAUAUAGGGAGAGUUUACGAAAAAACAAAAGACAAAGACAGGUGGUGUAGAAAACAAACAAAUGUAUUAGUAUAACGCUCAGGAAUAGAAAAAAGUCUUUUACUUUUCGAGCCUACGCUCUUCUACAGAAAGGGACACAGAAAAAACAAGGAAAGAAAAAAAUGUGUGUAGUGGCUAAAGAUCUAUCAUGGUGACUGUAUAUAUAUGUAUAUAUAUGUAUAUAUAUAUAUAUAUAUAUAUGUGUGUGUGACCGCGUGUAUACCGUUGGCGAUUUUUUUCCCUCCGUCUUCUCUUCUCUGGUUCUUUCCUUUUCCUCUGUUUCUGACGAAGAGCUCCGCUCGAAACGUAAAACCCCACUUCUUCCCUUCCUUCCUGAGCGUUCAAUAAUACUAUAUUUGUUCCACGUCCUCGCGUUGUUGUGUUUUCUCAUUGUGUUUUCAUGUUUGGAUUAACUAUAUAUAUAUAUAUAUAUAUAUAACGUCUACAUAUAUAAAUGGCGGUGCCCCAGCAUGGCCACAGCUCAAGGGCUGAAACUGGAAAACAUAAGCAAUAUAUAUAUAUAUAUAUAUAUAUAUAUAUAUAUAUAUAUAUAUAUAUAUGUAUGUAUAUACAUAUUUAUAUAUAUAUAUAUAUAACGUCUACAUACAUAUAUAUAUAUGUGUGUAUACAUACACUAACGUACAAACACACACACACAGCAAUAAGCUUGCCCUUUUCCUAAAUGGCAUGUCGACUUCGGAAAAAUUCUUCAAUCCUGUGAUUGCCACUUCUCAUACGGAGCUGUCCAUAAUUGUCAUUUUGGUAAUAAUGGGACAUCCUCUUGAGACGGUGAUAAUUUCAACACAUCAAGAAUUUAUGAUUUAUGGCAUUUGAGAAAUGUGUAGAUCUCUAUGUUCUCCAAAUAUAUGCCACUGGCCUCUCUGAGUUAUUUCUCCUUUCUCAUUUUCGUUUGUAUGUGUAUAUAUAUAUAUAUAUAUAUAUAUAUAUAUAUAUAUAUAUAUAUAUAUAUGUGUGUGUGUGUGUGUGUGUGUGUGUGUGUGUGUGUAUACAUUCGAAGUUUUUUUUCCAAGGAAACUAAUGCUCUCAGCUUAGUUUUUCCUUGGGGCUGGCCAGAUUGGAGCAAUCUCAAGAUCAAUCAGCCGACAUUGCGAGGAUGAUCCGAUUCUUGACUGAAGAUUAAACGCUUCGAAUGGCCCGUCCGUGUUUUUUGUAUCGUCUUCCGGAUGUUUUGCGUUCUUGUCCCAUUUUGUAUUUAUAUAUAUAUAUGUAUAUAUAUAUAUAUAUAUAUAUAUAUAUAUAUAUAUAUAUAUAUAUAUAUAUAUAUAAUACGUGUGUACGUGUGUGUGUACUGAGACAGAGAGAAAUAAAGAAUAUGAGAACGACAUAGAAACAGUGAGUUGUGCAUAUAGCUUUAUAUAACACGCACAACCCAUAUUCACAGGUAAGUUGCACAUAUUCAGCACCGGUAGACAAUGCACAACGCUUUCAAUGUUACAAACAUAUGCUGUUUGACAGACACUCAGAUAACAAUCUGAAUACUUAUUAUUUACCUAUAUACCUGGACAAAUAGAUAGAUAGAUAGAUAGAUAGAUAGAUAGAUAGAUAGAUAGAUAGAUAGAUAGAUAGAUAGAUAGAUAGAUAGAUAGAUAGAUAUUAUACCUGGACGUAUGUGUACGUGUGUGUGUCUGAGUAUGUUAGUGUGCAUUUCCUAAUGGUUAUCAAUGCGUGUGUAUAUGAUAUGAGCAUUUCUUCUGAACUUGUCUGCAUGUUUCCCAUUCAACAAGCCAUGAUCUUGCACGAGAUAUGGUUUUACUGUAUUGGCAUUGAACAAUACGAAGCUUCAGUUGAGCUAUUACAACCUGAAACACUUCUAAUUGCGUAUUUAUUCUGAAAGGUCGAAGACCCGGGGGUCAUAAUAUUAACCCAUAUCCUGCCGAACGUUGCAAGAUUGAUCAAUAUCUUAAAUUAACAUUGCGACAGUUCUGGAAAAAGUUUGUAUUCGCGCGUACAUGUACGCGUGCGUGUGUGAGAGAGAGAGUGUGUGUGAAUGUGUGUGUGUGUGUGUGUGUGUGUGUGUGUGUGUGUGUGUGUGUGUGCAUGCGUGUACUAAUAAAUAUUAGUACUGUAAAUUCCACUGCAAGUGAAUAGUUAUAUAAUGUAGGUAGAGUAGUUAGAACAAUUAUUUCUUAUGUAGAUAAGUAGAUAAUAAGCAGGUAAAUAUAUAUUGAGAUAUGGGGAGAAUUCACAAAAAACAAAAGACGAAGACGGGUGGUGUAGAAAACAAACAGAUGUAUUAGUAUAACGCUCGGGAAUUGAGAAAGUCCUUUACGUUUCGAGCCUACGCUCUUCCACAGAAAGGAACACAGAAAGAAACAAGGAGAGAUUAAAAAUGUGUGUAGUGGCUACCGAUCUAUGAGACUGUUUAACCCAGUUCAAUCCGGCUCCAGUAGAUCUCUGUGUCACAUACUUAUCAAAUAAGACCAAGUUGCAUGCUUAAGAAUUUCCACAAUUCCGUUACUCUUUUACUUGUUUCAGUCAUUUGACUGCGGCCAUGCUGGAGCACCGCCUUUAGUCGAGCAAAUCGAACCCAGGACUAGUACUUAUUCUAUCGCUCUGUUUUGCCGAACCGCUAAGUUAUGGGGGACGUAAACACACCAGCAUCGGUUGUCAAGCGAUGUUCGGGAGACACACACAAACAUACACACACACACACACACACACACACACACACACACACAUAUAUAUAUAUAUAUAUAUAUAUAUACGACGGGCUUCUUUCAGUUUCCGUCUACAAAAUCCACUCACAAGGCUUUGGUCGGUCCGAGGCUAUAGUAGAAAACACUUGCCCAAGGCGCCACGCAGUAAGAAUGAACCCGGAACCAUGUGGUUGGUAAGCAAGCUACAUACCACACAGCCACAUCUGCGUGUUUAAUAUUUCCUUCUAUUUUUCAAAUAGCCAUGUGUGAUUUUGAAGGUCGGUGACGUAAAACUCAUUGCCUUGAUUCUAGAAGCUUCGAUUAGUAGACUAUUCCUUUAUUCUUUGACUUGUUUCAGUCAUUUGACUGCUGCCAUGCUGUAACUCUCUAAACAUGAUUAUAUAGUUAUUUCCCUUACAAACCCGAGCAACGCCGGACGAUACUGCUAGUAUAUAUAUAUAUAUAUAUAUAUAUAUAUAUAUAUAUAUAUAUACGACGGGCUUCUUUCCGUUUCCGUCAACCAAAUCCACUCACAAGGCUUUGGUCGGCUCGAGGCUAUACUAGAAGACACUUCUCCAAGGUGUCACGCAGUGGGACUGAACCCGAAACCAUGUGGUUGGUAAGCAAGCUACUUACCACACAGGCACACCUGCGCCUAUAUAAACUUCAAUAUUAAUCGUAUUUCUGAACACAAACGUUCACCAAUUUAUGUCACCAUUAUGUAUGAUUUACAGGGCGUCGAGCUGACAGAAUCGUUAGCACGCCGGGCGAAAUGCCUAGCGGUAUUUCGUCAGUCUUUAUGUUCUGAGUUCAAAUUCCGCCGAGGUCGACUUUGCUUUUCAUCCUUUCGGGGUCGAUUAAAUAAGUACCAGUUACGCACUGGGGUCGAUGUAAUCGACUUAAUCCGUUUGUCUGUCCUUGUUUGUCCUCUCUGUAUUUAGCCCCUAGUGAGUAGUAAAGAAAUAUGUAUUUCGUCUGCAGCUACGUUCUGAGUUCAAAUUCCGUCGAGGUCGACUUUGCCUUUCAUCUAUCGGUGUCGAUAAAUUAAGUACCAGUUGCGUACUGGGGUAGAUCUAAUUGACUGAUCCCCCUCCCCCAAAAUUUCGGGCUUUGUGCCUAGAGUAGAAAAGAUUAUAUAUGAUUUACAUUGUGCGUGCAUUGUACAAUAUACGUUCUUUGCAAAAUACUUCCAACAAAAUAGGGCGAUGAGUUAGCUGAAUCGUUAGAACGUUGGACAAAAUGCUCAGCAGCGUUUCAUCUGGAUCAUCGCGUCUUGAGUUCGAAUUCUUCCGGAGUCGACGUCACCUUUCAAACUUUCGAAAUCGAUAAAAAUAAAGUAGUAGUUAAUACGUAUUAAAGCUCGAUGGUAUCACCGCACCCGUCCUCCUAAAAACUGCUGGCCUUUUGCGAAACUUUGAAACCAUUAAAGGCUGUGAACGGGCAAGAAGUUAGCUCAUGAGACAAAAUGCUUAGUGGCUUUUCUCUUAGCGUUUUACGUUCUGAGUUCAGAUUCCAUGGAGGUCAACUUAGUGCUUCUUCUUUCGGGUUUGAUAAAAUAAGUACCGUUUGAGUAAUGGGAUCCGUGUAAUGGUGUAACCUUUCCUCGCUAAAAUUGCAGGCGUUGUGCCAUAUUCGAAACAAGUACACACUCACAAAUAUACAUAUACGUACUUGUGAUGACGUUCACCCAGGGCGGGUCGAGCCGGCUUCUUCUCUGGUCCAAGUGGUAUUAGGGCCGCAGCCUGGCCAAUGGGACUCUGGUGAAAAUUCCAAGAGGCGUCUGAUCGGCAACCGGCGGCUUCGAGGUCGUUCUGUUCCUUCUUCUAUGAAUCCUACUACCACCUUGGCAAUAAAUACGAAUACGAAUACAAGUUAUCUACCUGCUACAAACUUGCAACCAAUCAACAACCCUCAAACUGCUAUGGCUCUUCAAACUACUCCUGGAGUAGUCCCGCUCUUUAAACGUAGGAUAGAACUGAAGGUAGCCUGCUGGAACGUCAGAACCUUUCGCGACGAUGGUGUCCAGGCGCUGACAAUGAAGGCUUUGCACAAGUACUGCGUGAGUGUUGCUUGCCUUUCUACCUAUCAGGGUGCCGGGCGAGGAUGUCAGUUAUCGCCUGUAUCAUACAUAUACAUAACUGAAUGAAAAGAGUUAUUUGUUGCAAUAAUUGUCUUACAAUUCAUACGACAUUGAUUAUCGUUGUCUAUACUAUUGAGGCCAAGUAGAUCAGAUGAAUUAAUAUAUUGUUUGUAAAGUGAUUAAAUGACUUCUUGUCAACGGCGAACAUAUUUAUUGAGUGUCUGUAUGAGACAUUUUAUUGUCCAUUCAUGUCAUACUCAGACGCCUAAACAGACACGGCUGUAUGGUUACGUUGUUUGAUUUUACUACCUCACAGUUCGGUUUGUCAAAUGCAGUAUAAGGACACUUUUACAAACGCAAAAAUUAUGGAAACCUGACAAGGACAGAGAAUAGUGUAUGUAUUUCAACAGGUAAUACAUUAAACAAGGGACACAGUACUUAGUAUAUUGACAAGUUUACUGGUCCCUCGGUGAUAUCAUUCUGAUGGAAGAAUACGAACUACAACUUUCUGUUUGAAUAUAAAUUCCUCUUUUUCUCCCACCACUCACGGAUAUUUGUAGUUAAGGCCUUGAUGUAGUGUGAUGACAUGCAUGCUUUAAUGACUCUAAGAGCUAUACCAACAGCAAAAGCUUCUGGUAGGACCUAUCUUGCUAUAGGUAAAAAUGUUGUUCCUUCUCGAGCCACGCCUGGCUCAUAGGGCCGGUUUCCCGGUUUCCUUGGCGUGUAGGUUCCCCACCUGGACGGGACGCCGGACCGUCGCAGGUGAGCUGCAAGAUGCAGGAGGAAAACGUGAGAGAAAGUUGUGGUGAAAGAUUCAGCAGAAGUUUGCCAAUACCUUCUGCCGGAGCUGUGUGGAGCUUAAAUGUUUUGCUCAUAAGCGCACACAUCGUUCGGUCUGAGAUUCGAACACGCGAUCCCUCGACCGUGAGUCCACUUCUGUAACCACUAGACCAUGUGCCUCCACAUAGGUAAAAAUGGGUUUACAUAAAGUCGACAAACUUACGUGGUUUAAAGGCAGUUACCAAAGCAACGAUUAAUAACAAUUUCAGAUCAACAAAGCGUGUGAGAAGAAAACCUUCUCUAAGAAAAGGCGGCAUACCGAGGCAGACCUGGAAAGGCAGGGAUGCAAAUGGAGUAUAGAAAAGACCGCUCAGAAUCGAGAACAGUAGAGAAACGUCGUUGAUGACCUAUGCGCUAUAACGAAUGUAUAACGAGUGAUAGGCGUAAAUGAUUUUGGGUAGCCUCUUAAAAGUCAAAAAUGAUGCUUCCUCCUCUCUGACAAACUUAUCAAAACAAUAACAGUCCUAUCUAAACUAUAACGUGUUCUAUAGGUAGUAUGGAGAGCAAACAACGCAAUAAAAGUCAUAAUUGUCAAAAAAAUAAAUAAAUACUAAAAUAGUGAAAAAAAAAUCUAAGUAUCUACGUUCAAUCGGAGACAAUGUCGUCACCGUUUCGUUGAUAACAAAACAAAAUAAAUUGACAGGAGACGAAAAUAUCAAGAUCGUAACUAAAUAUAGAACAGAAAACUUAUAAGACAGUUUUAAGAUACAACACAUUUUAAGUAGCGAUAAUAUCGAAAAUGUAUAGGAUAUAUAUAGACGUGUUUGUGUGCGUAUGUAUAUCUGUGUAUGUGUGUGUGUGUGUGUGUGUGUGUGUGUGUCUGUGUGUGUAUGUGUGUGUGUGUGUGUAUGUAUGUCAGUGUCUGCAUAUACCUAUAUAUACACAUUUAUUUAUGUUUAUAUUUGUAUGUAUAGUUACUUACGUGUAUAUAUAUAUAUAUAUAUAUAUAUAUAUAUAUAUAUAUAUAUAUAUGUGUGUGUGUGUGUGUGUGUGUGUGUGUGUAUGAAUAUAUAUGUAUAAACAUAUGUGUAUAUAGAUAUGUAUGCAUAUAUAUUUAUAUGUAUAUACAUAUACAUAUAUGUUUGACAUAGAUACGCACGUAUAUAUACACGUACAUCCAUUUGCAUAAAUAUAUAUAUAUAUAUACACACGCACACACACAAUAUAUGUCUAUGGGCACGUGCGUGUGUGCAUACAUGUAUAUACGUACGCAUAUAUAUGUAUGUGUAUAUAAUAUACACACAUGCUUACAUAUAUACAUAUACACACACACAUACGCAGCCAGACACACACACACACACACACACGCACACACACACACACAAACACACAUGGACACACACACGGACACGUAUCUUAUUGGAAAUGAAUUUUUAUCUCGCGACUCUAAGUUCCACGAAAUAUCCUAAUUAAUAACCAAACAUAAAACGCGCAGAGAUCAUAUCGAAAGAAAAGCGCUGCUUGUUAUUAUUUAGUUACACCUUACAAAUCACCAGAGCGAAUCUAAACUUCGUGGUAUUUUCGAAUUUAUUGCUUUCAAGAAAGGCAAUUAAUUUUGCUUUGUUUUGGUACGUUAUCAAAAUCUAAGUUUUGUUUUUAUGGCGUCUUUUCAUGUAUUUAUUUCUUGUUUUCUUUUACUUAUUUAUGUAUUUCUUGUACUUUUGAAUAUUGGUUUGUGAGUCAUUCCUUACCAAGUUGGUAAGUUAUCGUUCGUUGAAGCAUCGGUCAAAAUGUCUUGUGGUAGUUAUUCUCUCUCGUUAUUUAAUUACAGCGUUUCGAACGCGUCGCGGCCAAUUUUGCAACUUAACAACUUUGACUUUCGUCUCUUCGGGAUUGAUAGUUAUAUAUGUACAUUUAUAUGUAUGUAUGUAUGUAUGUAUGUAUGUAUGUAUGUAUGUAUGUAUGUAUGUAUGUAUGUAUGUAUGUAUGUAUGUAUGUAUGUAUGUAUGUAUGUAUAUAUAUAAAGUUAAUCCAAACAAGAAAACAAAAACAAAAAAACACAACAACGCAAGGACGUGGAACAAAUAAAGUAUUAUUGGACGCUCAGGAAAGAAGGGAAGAAGGAGGGCUUGACGUUUCGAGCGGAGCUCUUCGUCGGAAACAUAGGAGAAGGAAAGAUCCCGAGAAGGGAAGACGGGAAAAAAUCGCUAGUGGUACAGACGAGGUCACAUACUGAAAGCAAAUAUAUAUAUAUAUAUAUAUAUAUAUAUAUAUAUAUAUAUGUAUGUAUGUAUGUAUGUAUGUAUGUAUGUAUGUAUGUAUGUAUGUAUGUAUGUAUGUAUGUAUGUAUGCAUGUAUGUAUGUAUGUACAUACAAAGCAAGACAGAUGUGUGACAACCUGGCCACUGGUGGUGGUGUUACACACCAUACUAAUCAUAUCUGUCGGGCAUGUGGAAGAGAGUGUAAUUCGGCAGGAGGGCUUAAACGACAUGCGAAGGUUCAUGAAGCCCAGUUACAACUACAGCCGGCUAUUGCCGGUAAAGGUUUUAGUUGCCAAUUCUGUACAAGACAUUGUAGAUCUUUAGCUGGGCUAAAAAGUCACAUUCGAUCACAGCACCAGUAACAGUUAAGCUUCGUGCAAUGGCCAUACUCGAUAACGAGGGGGCAACCAUAAUAAUGUAUGUAUGUAUGUAUAUGUGGAGGCGCAAUGGUGCAGUGGUUAGGGCAGCGGACUCACAGUCGCAGGAUGGUUGUGUCGAUUCCCAGACCAGACGUUGUGAGUGUUUACUGUGCGAAAAUACCUAAAGCUCCACGAGACUCCGGCAAGGGGUGGUGGCGAUCCUUGCUGUACUCUUUUGCCACAACUUUCUCUCACUCUUUCUUCUGUUGGCCUGCUUGCUUAGCCAGUGGGGUGGCGUCACUUGACGGCUAAAACAAUGCAAAGCGCAUUGUGACCAGCGAUGAGAAGCAAGAUCUGAUAGCCCGGUCGGUCACGGUGAUCACGUGAUGUAUAUAUAUGUAUGUAUGUAUGUAUGUAUGUAUGUAUGUAUGUAUGUAUGUAUGUAUGUAUGUAUGUGUGCGUGUGUGUAUGUAUAUAUUGAAUAUAUAUAUAUGUGUUUGUAUCCGUGAAGGUGUGUGUGCGUGUAUGGUGAAUGUGCACGAUUUUGCUGGCGGUGAAUCGAUUUCAUCGCACAAAGCUAAGCUAAUGUGUUUAAUACUCGGUUCGUAAAAAGAAAAGGAGAGGAUUGGUCUCGUUGUUUUUUAGUCCCGUUUUUUGACACUCUUUUAAGUCCAUUCGUAUAGAACUUGUAUUAGGUGUACAAACAUACUAUCUAACCUAGCUAAAGCGUUUAGUACAUCGAUAUAUUUAGUAGAAAUUUAAAGACGUAGUGGGGAUGGGGUGGGCUAGUAAAACUGAUACAAAUGACCUAAUAUCUAUAGAAAAUAUUGGUGAGAUCAGAAACGGAAAUUUCCCUAAGGAUAUCCAUUAAUAAAAAUGCGUAUUAUAAUGUUUGCUGGUGGCCAUGAGAAAUGUUUCUAUAUUGUAAGUGAAACUGAAAAUAAAAGUCCGCCAUAUACAUAUAAAUGUGCAUGUGUAAAUGUGUGUGUGUAACGAAAACGUGUGUAACAUAUAAAUGUGUAUAACAUAUAAAGGUGUGUAACAUAUAAAUGUGUGUGUAAGGAAAACGUCAGUGUUGGGAACGGUUUACGUGCAAACGACUUUUACACAAAGUAUGAUUGAAAGCUUUUUUGUAUACCAAUUACGAAAGUAUGAUUUUUAAAAUAUGUUAAGUUAUGGCAUGGAUAAUAUAAAAAUACCCAGAAAUAUUUAUAAUGUGGUCUUCGUCUCCCUGAUAUGAUAAAUUCCUUUUGUAACAGAGGGAACUAAAUUGGCAUCGUCAAAAGAAAUACGAUCCUAAGUUAUCUAAAUCGUAAAAGAAAGACAGCUUCUAAAACUUUCAGCAAAUAUGAAUCUAUUCAAGUACAUUCAUAUCAUAAAGUACAUUUAUAUUGUAAGUAGAAAAGCAAAAUCUUUUCGAACAUUUAAUAAUAGUAAGAUAGUAACUUUUUAUCUAUUAUAUAAAAUCCGUUCAGUCUGUGUGUGUGUCUUCUAGGAUCUCGGGCAUCCUCCAUCUGAUUGCGCUCAAAUUUGAUAUGUAGAUACCGGCGGUAUCAGGGCGUGUAUAAAUCUUGAAAAAUUACAAAAAUCAAUUCCAGGUGAGAAUGCGAUCGAUAAAGCCGUGGUAACAUGCAUUUGUACAUGCAAGUGCAUCAGUCGAAAUCCGUCUUUUGCUGGUGUCUCAAAUUUAGGUUAAAUCAGUGUUUCUCAACACUAUGGGACGUCGGACAAGUUGUUUUGAGAAAAUUUGGUUUAAAUGUUUGACAACUCAGCACCGUCCAUUGGACGGGGGGCGUUUUGAUCGUUAAUAAUCUAAAUCUAGGAAGAGGAACAUAACCUGAUAUAAUCCUCAAUACUCCUCACAAAUUAAAAUCAGCGUAACAAAAGCUUCUUAUGCAUAAUAAAAAAAAGAAUCCCUCCACAACAAAAACAUCACCAAAUAUUCAAUACUUGUAUAGUGAAACUUUCUACCUUUAUUAUUCCAAACAUGGCUGAUAACAUUGUUGGCACAAAUUAUCAUAAAACUUACAGAGACAUUAAUGAUUAUCUUGAUAAAACUAAUUAUAAUCCGUGAUCGAAUAUUAUUAUUAAUAAUAAGGCUAAUGUCAGCCCUAAUAGUGAUUUUAGAACUUUCCUGAUAAGAUGCUAGAGAUGUAUGGGUGUCCGUAUUGAUUAAUUAUGCAUAUGUUGGACACACUCGUAGCAAUAACAUUAACGGUAAUCCCUUUGUGAAUAGCAAUGAUAGUGACAUAGCAGAUAUAAUAUCUACCAUCUACGCUAUCAGGCAAGAUAACCCUUCGUACUGCAACUUUUAUCACAUUAUAGGAAAUAUCCCUAAAUAAUUGUGAUAUCGAUAUGAACGUUACUACUAUAGCAUCUAUUGUAGUGUUGCCAUUCAGUGACUUCAUGAUUAGUUUUUCAGAAGAAAAAGUAAUAUAUAGGCGCAGGAGUGGCUGUGUGGUAAGUAGAUUGCUAACCAACCACAUGGCUCCGGGUUCAGUCCCACUGCGUGGCAUCUUGGGCAAGUGUCUUCUGCUAUAGCCCCGGGCCGACCAAUGCCUUGUGAGUGGAUUUGGUAGACAGAAACUGAAAGAAGUCUGUCGUAUAUGUAUAUAUAUAUAUAUAUGUGUGUGUGUGUGUUUGUCCCCCUAGCAUUGCUUGACAACCGAUGCUGGUGUGUUUACGUCUCCGUCACUUAGCGGUUCGGCAAAAGAGACCGAUAGAAUAAGUACUGGGCUUACAAAGAAUAAGUCCCGGGGUCGAUUUGCUCGACUAAAUGCGGUGCUCCAGCAUGGCCGCAGUCAAAUGACUGAAACAAGUAAAAGAGUAAAAGAGAAAGAGAUAGUUGUAAUGGUAUUAUCUACAAUGGGAUUCCAAAAUAUGGACUCUCGUCAUCGAAUUAUUUUCAAAAUCAGGUAUUCUUCGCAGAAGGCGGCGAGCUGGCAGAAACGUUAGCACACCGGGCGAAAUGCGUAGCCGUACUUCAUCUGUCGUUACGUUCUGAGUUCAAAUUCCGCCGAGGUCGACUUUGCCUUUCAUCCUUUCGGGGAUGAAAGGCAAAGUCGACCUCGGCGAAAUUUGAUAAAUUAAGUACCAGUUCCGCACUCGGGUCGAUAUAAUUGACUUAAUCCCUUUGUCUGUCCUUGUUUGUCCUCUCUGUGUUUAGCCCCUUGUGGGUAGUAAAGAAACAGGUAUUCUUCGCAGAAACACUUCUCUGACUCUAAAUCAAAACAUUUGAUAUCAACAUCAAUAUCAUAACCGAAGUAUUUUCAACUCAGAAUAAAACAAGUGCGAAAAGUAUAAACGUCAUUUAUGCAAGUAAGGUUCUAGAAAUCUCAUUAGCAAACAGUAACUUAUUAAACUAAAAGAAUACAGUUUAGUUAAUUGCAAAUAUAAAAAACUAAAUACCUCUAAAUACUAAGUAUUACAUAACUAGAGCUCUGACAACGGUUUAGUAUUACCAUUUCUCAAUAUAACAGUCACUACUAAGGCGGCGAGCUUGCAUAAUCGUUAGCACCCAGAGAAAAUUGCUUAGCGGUAAUUCAUCUGAUUUUUACGUUCUGAGUCCAAAUUUCCCCGAAGUCGACUUUGAUUUCAUCCUUUCAGACUCGAUGAAACAAGUACCAGUUGAUAACUAGUGCCGAUGCAAUCAACUUACCUCCACCUCAACCCGAGAUUGCUGACCUUGUGCCAAAAUUUGCAAAUAAUAUAAUACUCUCUACUUUCAUAAAGUCAGUAAUACAUAUAUCUAGCAAUUGACUUUUUAAUGCUACAAACUGAGUUCUUUUAUAUAUACUAGUUUCAAAUUUUGACACAAAGCCAGCAAGUUAGGGGCGGGGGUAAAUCGAGUAUAUCAAUGCUAGUUCUCAACUGGUACUUAUUCUUAUCGGCAAAGUCGAUCUCGGUAGAAUUUGACCUCAGAACGUAAAGACGGACGAAAUUCCGCUGAGCAUUUUGCCCGGCGCGCUAAAGUUUCUGCCAACUCGUCGCCUUAAUCUUUUAUAUAUAUUGUUUUCUACCCUACGCACAAAGCCUGAAAUUUGUGGUUCGUAAGUAUGCUACUUACCACACAGCCACUCCUACGCCUAGGUUUAUCAUUGAUCCCUGUAAAUGCUGCAAUUCGUGUAUAUUUUAUGUGAUAAUACAAGUAAUUUUACUUUAAGUCUCUUUCUUGAAACAUACUUCAGUAUUUCUGUUUAUCUUUGUGUACAUUUACAUAUUAGUUUUUGUAUGUGUUUGUAUAUAAAUAUUUUAAACUUUUACGUAUUUCAGUGGAUAGAUUGGUGCCACCUUGACGAAAUUGUAUUCCAAUGAAUCGAACCCAGCACUUCUUUAGUUUUAAACCUGGUACUUAUUCUAUCUGUCUGUUUCUAUCUGCAAAGUUUCGGGGACGUAAACACUACGACAUCGGUUGUCAAGCGGUGAGGGACAAACACACGCGUGUGAGCACACAUGUAUAUACAUACAUACACACACACACACACACACACACACAUAUAUAUAUAUAUAUAUAUAUAUAUAUAUAUAUAUAUAUAUAUAUACAGAGUGUCCAUAAAGUCUCUUUACAAUUUAAAAUAAUUAUUACAAAAACAGUUCAUGAGAUAUUUUAACCAGAUUUAUGUUAUUUUAAUAAUUGUUUAUUAAAGUUUUUAUUGAUAUGAAUUUUUUGUGUUCCAGAUACUAUGUUGAUGGAAGGAAACUGAUUCACUGAACCCCUAUAAAAUGAGGAUGAAGCAUUCCUCAAGCGAGUUUAUUUUAGUGACGAGGCGACUUUUCAUGUUUCAGGGAAAUUAAACAGAUAUAAUGUAAGAAUCUGGGGAUCAGAACACCCCCAUGUGACUAGGGAAUUUCAACGGGAUAGUCCAAAAGUUAGUGUGUGGUGUGGAAUCAUGUGCAAUCGAAUAAUUGGUCCAUUUUUUCUUGAACGAGGCAACAAUUACUGCAAAUGUUUACCUCGACCUUCUGACCGAUUAUGUGACACUAGAAGUGAUUGAUUUACAACCAACCAUCAUUUUCCAGCAAGAUGGUGCGCCACCACAUUGGGGACGGUAUGUUUGUCAGUUCCUCAAUCAAACAUUUCCAGACCGAUGGAUUGGAAGGGAUGGGCCAAUUCCAUGGGCACCGCGUUCGCCAGAUAUCACUCCCUUGGGGUUAUGUAAAAGAUAUCGUGUAUCAAACAAAGAUACGGAACAUUGUUGACUUGAAGCAAAUGAUUCGUAAUGCCAUUGCCACCGUUGAUGAGGCUAUCCUACAGCGAACAUGGCAAGAAAUCGAGUACCGCCAUGAUGUGCUUCGAGCAACUAAUGGUGCCCAUAUUGAGGUUUAUUAAAUAACAGUUAAAAAACACUGUAAUAAACAAUGAUUUCAAUAAAACAAAUCUGGUUAAGAUAUCUUGUCAACUGCCUUUGUAAUAAAAUUUCAAAAUUGUAAAGGAACUUUAUG